rnacentral:tRNA from 1 species
UUCUUGAUAGCUUAAUUUUUUGGUAAAAGCGUUUGGUUGUUAACCUUAAGAGUAUAGGUUCGAAUCCUAUUCAAGAAG